AGUGAACGCUGGCGGUAGGCCUAACACAUGCAAGUCGAACGGCAGCACAGUAAGAGCUUGCUCUUACGGGUGGCGAGUGGCGGACGGGUGAGGAAUACAUCGGAAUCUACUUUUUCGUGGGGGAUAACGUAGGGAAACUUACGCUAAUACCGCAUACGACCUACGGGUGAAAGCAGGGGUUCUUCGGACCUUGCGCGAUUGAAUGAGCCGAUGUCGGAUUAGCUAGUUGGCGGGGUAAAGGCCCACCAAGGCGACGAUCCGUAGCUGGUCUGAGAGGAUGAUCAGCCACACUGGAACUGAGACACGGUCCAGACUCCGACGGGAGGCAGCAGUGGGGAAUAUUGGACAAUGGGGGCAAGCCUGAUCCAGCCAUACCGCGUGGGUGAAGAAGGACUUCGGGUGGUAAAGCCCUUUUGUUGGGAAAGAAAAGCAGCAGGUUAAUACCCCGCUGUUAUGACGGUACCCAAAGAAUAAGCACCGGCUAACUUCGUG
rnacentral:rRNA from 1 species